AUGCCAGGUGCAUUUGGAGAAAGAGAAAACUUGGGGACAGAGGAAGAAGAAAAGCCAAUAUUUGCUCUUGGUAUCUGUCUGUUAAAACAACUUAUGCAGAUCACACUGGGGAGAACAAGCAAGGAGAGGGGAAAGGAGAGGGACAAGCAGACUCCUCACUGAGCACACAGAGCCCAACAUGGAGCUCGAUUCUGCAACCCGGAGGUCAUGACCCUGAGCCAAAACCAAGAGUUGGCCACUUAACUGACUGAGCCACCCAAGCACCCCUCAGAAUUAGUUUUUGAUUAAGUGCUGGUGCUUUAGGUCAUGGUGAUUGAUACUAUAGUUCUUGCCCUCUACAGAUAUUUUUCUUCCCCUAUAAUCUCUGUGGUUGGAAGUCCAGUAAGAUCACCAAAAGAAAAGUAGGUCAAAGUUCCCUGAUAUUUUGAAGUGGAGGCCAAUUACAUCUGGAAAAGAUCUUUGUAAGAAGUGGAAUUACAGAUGGACCGUGGAUAUUGACCACCUGUGGUGAUUCAAUUUAACACUUGGGAUUCAUGGUUGUAGGCUUGCAAAGACAAUGUCAAUAAAAUCUAACACUUUUUGAGUGCUUGGUAUGUUCUAGGCAUGCUGCUAUAGACUCUAUAGAUUUAAUCUUCACAAUAGCCCCAUGGGUCAGAUACUAUUAGUACUGCUAUUUUAUAGAUAGAUCUAUAGAUAGAUAUUUUAUAGAUAAGACAACACUAACAUAGAAAGGUCAAGCAACUUGCCUAAAGUCACACAGCUGCUAAGCGUGUGAGAAAGGAUUUACAAGUUGUCAGGCCAGGUUACAGAACCCAGUUACCACUAUAUAAUACAAACUCUGGAAUGCUGCAGAUGAAAAUAAUUGUACAAUUAUAAAGUAGAUGAACUUAUUACUUCAGCACCUGGUCUAUUAAGGAACUCAUCUAUUUGGCAACCUUAUAUAUUUCAAAUAUAAUUGCAAACCAGGGAUUAAAAAGAAACCAAGCAGCUGUGAACAGCUAGAAAGUACACACUGGAUCAAGGCAACAAGGCACAGAUAAAGUAUUCUCGAGAGGGCACAGCUGGUCCUCGCCAAUUGGAUUUACUGUUACUGCAUAUACAUCAGAGUUGUGACUAUCACACAACUUAUCUGUUGUGACUGUGCACAUUAAUGACUACCAAGUUCCAAGGCAAUUCAGAUCUGCAAUCAUUGAUAUCUAAAUUCACAUAAAGGAGUGAGUACACAGGGAAAGAUUGGGGAACUCUAAAAAAAAAAAAAACCCUCAAAUUUUAUCAGUUUAUAUAAGGUCAUUUAGUGCCUGAGCCCAAAUCCUUAUCAACUUCGAUAAACUUCAGAACCAUUCUAGCCUGGCAACAGAGCUCAUUUAAGAAACGUUCAUGCUGGUGAUACUAAAUGAUGAAGAAAAUCUCAAAUGACAUUUGAUUAUUCGUUUAAGAAGAAAAAUAUAUGAAAUUACUUUCAAAACGGACAUACCAUCCUUCAGAGAAUAAAUACUCUACUAGAACCAACACUUAUCUAUCCAUAAAACAUUCCCUGACGGGUCUGUGUGACUGAGGUUGAUUAACUGCAUUUUUCACUCUUGUGAGAUAGCAUGGCCUCCUGCACAACCUGGCCUUGUGCAGGUUGAGCUGGUGCUUGCUGGGCACACGGUGCCUUCUGGGAGGUUGGGGCUGCCAGUUGGAAGCAUCUAUCAGACUGAGUCCAGCUUACAAGACCCAGUCAGAACUGAUGGGAGGUUGUGUUUCUGGUGAUAGAACUUCAAAAUAGCCUUUUCUUUUCUUUCUUUUUUCUUACAGUAACAGGUGUUUACAAAUGAAUAUGAUUCACAUAUUAGCAUGCAAAGAUUCAUAAAUUAUAUUUCUGUAAAGGACUCAGGAUCCAGACCCGUCUUAUAAACACCUGAUGAAGUUUUAAUUAAAAUGCUGACUGUUUUAGGGGCACCCGAGUGGCUCAGUGGUUGAGCAUCUACCUUUGGUUCAGGCCAUGAUCCCAGGGUCCCAGGGUCGAGUUCCAUAUUGGGCUCCCCAUAGGGAGUCUGCUUCUCCCUCUGUGUCUCUGCCUCUCUCUCGGUGUCUCUCAUGAAUAAAUAAAAUCUUUUUUUAAAAUGCUGUUUUAAUAAUGGACUAGAGGUGCCUGCUUGAGAAGCAAAAUGUAUAUAAGCAAUUUUUCCUUUAUUAAUUUAAACAUAGCCCUCCUCAUAUAGAACCAAUGAUUUAAGAGUGUAUCUACUGCUGCAUGAGAAGCAAAAAAACGUGGAAAACAUUCCCUUCAAAUUCUGAUUUAUUUCAUAUACUUACUCUGAACCCUCGGGUUUUGGAAAAUGAGCACUUCUUUACAAAUAACAUCAACUUGCAUUAAAAUGUCAGUCAAAUCUGUUUCAUCUGCUGUUUUUUCCAUCAUAAUUAUUCAGCUUGAAAAAAAAAAAAAACAGUUAAAUGAUGUCACCCUGGAAGCCUAUGUGGUAAAAUAAGGGUUAGAAGGAAACUUCUUAUUUAUAUAUUUGGUUUUAGAUGUCAACUGGAAAACAUUGUCAUUAGACCAAAUAUUAAGCCUAGAAUACUACAUAGAAGGCCUUUCUUCUCUAGAGAAGAGAAAACAUGUCAAUAAGCACUAAGGACCUGCUUAUCGAUCCUAUUGUAUAUCCAUCCCUAUAGCACACACAGGGAAUAUACAAUGGAGGAAAAGAAAAACAGAGUAGGUUCUGAAGUGACUCUGAGUCUAAUGAGGAGACAGACAUAUAUAAAGCUGCCUAACAAACAACACAGCAAGUGAUACAAGAAUCCUAUUGCCAGGCAGGCAGGCAGACAAACAGGUGCAAGGAGAGGAGCAAGUUGCUCUCUGGCCAGGGAGUGGGGAGGGAGGGAAAGGAGGAGAGGAAGAUGGUAUAGAAGUUAAAAUCCCCAGUUCCGGAAUCAGCCACCAAACCUGGCUUGUAAACCUAGCCUACUGCUUAAUAAUUAGUGCUCCUUGGGCAAAUUGUUUAUCUUCCUUGCACCUUUUAUGUAAAAUGGUAGUAAUAUCAGAACCUUCCUUCCUUGGGUUGCUUUGAAGAUUAAAUGAGGUAAUACAUGAAAAAUGUUAGCUCAGUGUCAGGGUACGAUUACCGUUAAUAACCAUUAGUCAAAAACAAAGAGAAAAAGAGGGCUAUUUUGGUUGGGGAAGACAAGUUUGGUUGAGGGAUGACUAGGCUCCACCUAGUGGGUGCAGACAUUUCUGGCAGAAGAAACAUGAGCUAGAAGAGUACAGGGGGUGGAAUUACUCAAUUACUCAGAACAAAUUACUACGGAGAGUUGACUUCAAUAGGUCUGACUCCUGCCCUCAAAGGAGCACUGGGAGCAUACUGAGCUUGGGGGCUGAAUAACAUGCUGGGGAUGACUGGUGCUACCAGUGAUGGCACAAGUGGGGGUGAGUUGCCACCCCCACUCACAAAUAUCAAGUAAAAGAGAAUAACUUACAUGUUUGAUUAUGUGCCCCAGUUUUGCACUGUCUGGGCAUUAAAUAGAUGCUUACAUGAAAUAUGAGUUGAUUUUAUUUAAAUAUAGCAGCUGACAAUCUCAGUUUAUCACUCAGCCCACAUCUUAUCUG
rnacentral:lncRNA from 1 species